CCCUUAGAUGUUCUGGGCCGCACACGCGCUACACUGAGGGAGGCAGCGUGUACUCCUGGAUCGAAAGAUUUGGGUAACCCGCGAAUCUCCUUCGUGCUAGGGAUUGAGGUUUGCAAUUAUCCUUCAUGAACGAGGAAUUCCCAGUAAGUGCAAGUCAUAAGCUUGCGCUGACUACGUCCCUGCCCUUUGUACACACCGCCCGUCGCUACUACCGAUUGAAUGAUUUAGUGAGGACUUCGGACUGGGACCGAUGCGGCUUUCGGGCUGCGUCGGUAUUCUGGAAAGAUGUCCAAACUGUAUCAUUUAGAGGAAGUAAAAGUCGUAACA
rnacentral:rRNA from 1 species